rnacentral:lncRNA from 1 species
CACACCUCAUCUUGGAAGGAAGGAAAGUCAAUAUACUUGUUUAUUUUGGGUGUGAAAAUCAUGCUGAAAGUCAAUUGAUCUUUAUUUUUUUUUAAAAAAAAGUCAAUUGAUCUCUGACGGGAGCACGAGCUGCAUGCCCAAGAGUUUUGACUUUUGGGUCCAUGUUGACCUUGGUUCACAAGGCCCUCUAGCAAAUACUAAAAAUCAAUUACCAUUUGAUUUCCAAACCCUGCCUCAGGAACAGUUAGGUGAGUCUCAAUGAAGGUUUCAUGACAGUUCCAUAAACAUUAAUUUAUGCUACAUCAUAAAAAUUCUGACUUGGCAGGGUAAUUAUAAGGAGAAAGAGGAGAGAGUUUUAUCAGAUGCAGAUGCGAGAGGAGUUUCAUCCCAUGACACCUGUCAGAUAGGUUUAGGUACCAAAUUUUCAGUCUUGAUAAUUGUGCACUGAGACCG